AUUGAACGCUAGCGGGAUGCUUUACACAUGCAAGUCGAACGGCAGCGCGGACUUCGGUCUGGCGGCGAGUGGCGAACGGGUGAGUAAUGUAUCGGAACGUGCCCAGUAGCGGGGGAUAACUACGCGAAAGCGUAGCUAAUACCGCAUACGCCCUACGGGGGAAAGCAGGGGAUCGUAAGUCCUUGCACUAUUGGAGCGGCCGAUAUCGGAUUAGCUAGUUGGUGAGGUAACGGCUCACCAAGGCGACGAUCCGUAGCUGGUUUGAGAGGACGACCAGCCACACUGGGACUGAGACACGGCCCAGACUCCUACGGGAGGCAGCAGUGGGGAAUUUUGGACAAUGGGGGCAACCCUGAUCCAGCCAUCCCGCGUGUGCGAUGAAGGCCUUCGGGUUGUAAAGCACUUUUGGCAGGAAAGAAACGUCGCGGGCUAAUACCCCGUGGAACUGACGGUACCUGCAGAAUAAGCACCGGCUAACUACGUG
rnacentral:rRNA from 1 species